rnacentral:rRNA from 1 species
AGUGAACGCUGGCGGUAGGCCUAACACAUGCAAGUCGAACGGCAGCACAGAGGAGCUUGCUCCUUGGGUGGCGAGUGGCGGACGGGUGAGGAAUACAUCGGAAUCUACUCUGUCGUGGGGGAUAACGUAGGGAAACUUACGCUAAUACCGCAUACGACCUACGGGUGAAAGCAGGGGACCUUCGGGCCUUGCGCGAUUGAAUGAGCCGAUGUCGGAUUAGCUAGUUGGCGGGGUAAAGGCCCACCAAGGCGACGAUCCGUAGCUGGUCUGAGGGGAUGAUCAGCCACACUGGAACUGGGACACGGUCCAGAGUCCUACGGGAGGCAGCAGUGGGGAAUAUUGGAAAAUGGGCGCAAGCCUGAUCCAGCCAUACCGCGUGGGUGAAGAAGGCCUUCGGGUUGUAAAGCCCUUUUGUUGGGAAAGAAAUCCAGCUGGCUAAUACCCGGUUGGGAUGACGGUACCCAAAGAAUAAGCACCGGCUAACUUCGUGCCAGCAGCCGCCGUAA